rnacentral:rRNA from 1 species
UACGUAGGGACCGAGCGUUGUCCGGAUUCAUUGGGCGUAAAGAGCUCGUAGGCGGUCUGUCGCGUCGGCUGUGAAAACCCGUGGCUCAACCCCGGGCCUGCAGUCGAUACGGGCAGACUAGAGUGCGGUAGGGGAGACUGGAAUUCCUGGUGUAGCGGUGAAAUGCGCAGAUAUCAGGAGGAACACCGGUGGCGAAGGCGGGUCUCUGGGCCGUAACUGACGCUGAGGAGCGAAAGCGUGGGGAGCGAACAGG